CACGAUUAUGACCUAGUCCCCACCCCUGGCACUCGCCAGGUUCCUCUCGGAAGUCUGGGAGACCCGGCAUGUUGCUCUAAGGCGCUUCAUGCUCCAGCGGACGAGGGAGGAUAAUGAUGGUCCACCACAUAACCCCACUACAAUUUACCGUCCAUGGCCUCCCUGGCUUUCAAGUACACCCCCGCACUUGUGUGGAACUCGUAACUUCGUCAGCACCCACUAUCAGCAGUAUCUAGAUGAUGCGGCUGGGUUGACGGCGGCGUCAGCUCUACUCCUGGUGUAUAGUCUUGCAGGGCACUAAACUCUUGUCCAUCACCGUCUAUUGGGAUGAGGAUGCACCCAACCUCUUGGAGUCGAGGGGAUAUUUGUCUAUGCCACUUGUGCCACAAUUAGCGUAUUUACUGUGUCUGCACGGAACUGUAUAUGGUGUAUUCGGAUGGUGCAUCCGUGCUAUCACUAUCUAGAUGGCAACGGCAAGCACAGCGAUCAGGUACAUGCAUGCCGCUGCUGCUCCUGCCUGCUGCUGCUGUUAGGGUGUGUAGAGGCUACUAGUCGGUGAGGAAUGAGCGCGCAUCUUCGACGCAAUGUUCAUGGUCCGUGGUUUGCACAACACAGAUGAGUACCUGCUAUGGGCUGGAUGAGCCACGCACAUAUGCGGCUUACAUGUUUCCUAAAUUGCCUUAGACCCCUCUAUUCAUCCAGGAGACGU
rnacentral:lncRNA from 1 species